rnacentral:rRNA from 6 species
UGACGACCAUAGAGCGUUGGAACCACCUGAUCCCAUCCCGAACUCAGUAGUGAAACGAUGCAUCGCCGAUGGUAGUGUGGAGUUUCUCCAUGUGAGAGUAGGUCAUCGUC